rnacentral:rRNA from 1 species
GGUGUGACUGCGUACCUUUUGUAUAAUGGGUCAGCGACUUAUAUUCUGUAGCAAGGUUAACCGUAUAGGGGAGCCGCAGGGAAACCGAGUCUUAACUGGGCGUUAAGUUGCAGGGUAUAGACCCGAAACCCGGUGAUCUAGCCAUGGGCAGGUUGAAGGUUGGGUAACACUAACUGGAGGACCGAACCGACUAAUGUUGAAAAAUUAGCGGAUGACUUGUGGCUGGGGGUGAAAGGCCAAUCAAACCGGGAGAUAGCUGGUUCUCCCCGAAAGCUAUUUAGGUAGCGCCUCGUGAACUCAUCUUCGGGGGUAGAGCACUGUUUCGGCUAGGGGGUCAUCCCGACUUACCAACCCGAUGCAAACUACGAAUACCGAAGAAUGUUAUCACGGGAGACACACGGCGGGUGCUAACGUCCGUCGUGAAGAGGGAAACAACCCAGACCGCCAGCUAAGGUCCCAAAGUCAUGGUUAAGUGGGAAACGAUGUGGGAAGGCACAGACAGCCAGGAUGUUGGCUUAGAAGCAGCCAUCAUUUAAAGAAAGCGUAAUAGCUCACUGGUCGAGUCGGCCUGCGCGGAAGAUGUAACGGGGCUAAACCAUGCACCGAAGCUGCGGCAGCGACACUAUGUGUUGUUGGGUAGGGGAGCGUUCUGUAAGCCUGCGAAGGUGGCCUGUGAGGGCUGCUGGAGGUAUCAGAAGUGCGAAUGCUGACAUAAGUAACGAUAAAGCGGGUGAAAAGCCCGCUCGCCGGAAGACCAAGGGUUCCUGUCCAACGUUAAUCGGGGCAGGGUGAGUCGACCCCUAAGGCGAGGCCGAAAGGCGUAGUCGAUGGGAAACAGGUUAAUAUUCCUGUACUUGGUGUUACUGCGAAGGGGGGACGGAGAAGGCUAUGUUAGCCGGGCGACGGUUGUCCCGGUUUAAGCAUGUAGGCGGAGGUUCCAGGUAAAUCCGGUACCUUUUAACGCUGAGGUGUGAUGACGAGGCACUACGGUGCUGAAGUAACAAAUGCCCUGCUUCCAGGAAAAGCCUCUAAGCAUCAGGUAACAUUAAAUCGUACCCCAAACCGACACAGGUGGUCAGGUAGAGAAUACCAAGGCGCUUGAGAGAACUCGGGUGAAGGAACUAGGCAAAAUGGUGCCGUAACUUCGGGAGAAGGCACGCUGGUGUGUAGGUGAAGUCCCUGCGGAUGGAGCUGAGACCAGUCGAAGAUACCAGCUGGCUGCAACUGUUUAUUAAAAACACAGCACUGUGCAAACACGAAAGUGGACGUAUACGG